UACGUAGGGUGCGAGCGUUGUCCGGAAUUAUUGGGCGUAAAGAGCUUGUAGGUGGUUUGUCGCGUCUGCUGUGAAAAUCCGAGGCUCAACCUCGGACUUGCAGUGGGUACGGGCAGACUAGAGUGUGGUAGGGGAGACUGGAAUUCCUGGUGUAGCGGUGGAAUGCGCAGAUAUCAGGAGGAACACCGAGUGGCGAAGGCAGGUCUCUGGGC
rnacentral:rRNA from 1 species